UCUUGCUGUUCGUGCUCUGUGAAGGACAGCAGCUAGCUCCCCCUGUGGCUAGAGACUGGGGCUCUGGUGACAUAAUCCUCUCCUUCACUCUAAGCCUCUCAGAGAAGCAGGACAAAAAGAUUCUCAAGGUCAGCUGGCAAGGGUAGAACUCUGCCUUCUUGGGAGUUGCCAUCCCUUAGCUGCCCUCGCAGGUGUUGUGACAGAGGGAACAUAUGUCAUUCCCACCCAGAGGAUAAUGACAUUUCAGCAGCCAUUGCCCCACAGAGCUGGGCUCAGCAGUUCUUGACAGAACUGGAAAGGCAGCCUCCCUCUAAGCUGAGUCCUGGAAGCAAAGCCCCAAGACACCUCCCACAGAGGAACAGGGGCCUGGACUGCUUUCCCCCACCCACUCCCAAGCCAUCAAACAGUGGAAAAUUCUGCUAUAGAGAUCAAGAGAGACUUCCCGGGUGGCCUUGUGCUCGGAUUUUCCAAUGAAACCCCAGACCUCACAGGUUCUCAGAGACCCUUUCUCAUACACUCAUUAUACAGAUGAGGAAACCGAGAAGUUAACCCAGGUCUUUGAGCAGUCAGGCUAUUUCCUCUCACAAAUUUACCUCCUGAACAGAAAUCCCUGAGCCACCACCAAGCAGGAUGUAUUACACUCUAACUGUAAUAGGGUAAAUGGAGGUUACUGGAAAGAAAGUAAAUCAAGGAUUGAGCUUUCCAAAACAGCAGAAAUCGGGGAGGGAGGGACCGACUCAGGAAUCAGGUUGGAAUUCAGCAAAAAGGAAAUGCAGAGAAUGCAGAAGUAUGCUGGUAUGGAGCCCAGAGCAAAGCAGGUGGGGUGUGGGGCCUCUGGGGUUCCUCACUUUGGACCCCCCCCCAACUUUCACCUGUCCCAGACUUCUGAGUAUUUACAGUAGUUUAAAUUCAAGCCUUAUCUCUGCUGAUUCUCUUGGGUUAUUUCUUACUCCCCCGGGAUGGCUUAUCUGGCUGCCAGAGUCAUUUGCCAUCUCUAAUUUGUGUUUCAAUUAAAGUUCCCACAAACAGGGGCUUAAUGUGCUGUUACCAAGAGCUCCUGAGCCCCCUGCAGCUCCGGGAAGCUGAGGGGAGAAGGAAGAGGCUGUUUUGCAUGCACCACCGCCAUCAAGGGGAUCCCAUUGGCUGCAGAGGCUGCAGGGGGCUCAACCAGGUGUCUCUGUCCUUGUUCUCUGUCCAAACUGGUAAGGCCUAUAGGCAGGGAGGGACAAGCAUGCUCACAAGGAGUGAGAGCUCCCCACGGUUGUUCAAAUGUUUUCAUUACCUUGGGAAGAAGGCAGAGGAGGUGGGCAAAAAGGAGAAGGCAGGGCAGUAAAUGAGAAGGCUCAGGAGGCUCCAUUUUUUAACACUCACCAGUGCUAGGCACCAGCACAGUUCCUGAGCACCUCAGAGCUAUGAAAUCACUCAACAUUCACCACUCUCCUAUGAGGUAGGUGUUAUCACCAGCCCCAUUUUAUAGGUGGGGGAACUGAGGCACCGGGAGGUGAAAUAACACACCCAAGACCACACAACCACUAAGAAGAGGAUGCAGGAUUCUAACCUCAGCAGUCUGGCUCCAGGUUCCAGCACUAGGCCAAGGAUGACACUUGAGCCAAGAUUUGUCUGUCGCCCUUCCCAGUCCGUGAUCACAAAGUGGGGCUUCUCUUUGCCAGAGCACCUGAGACAGAGUGAAGCUCCUGUCCAGCUCCUCAGAAUCUUUACCUCUGGGUCGGAAUCUUUUCACCUGUAAAAUGAAGAUAAGGACCUCUGUUGGCCAAACCCACAAGAAGCAAGACGCCAGAGAGCCCAGGUGACAGUCAUGGUGCGUCAACCUCCCAGGACACAGAGUAACGCAAAGAACACAGGGCGGGGGGCGGGGGUGGAAUAACCCUAUCCAUCCCACCCCAUGAUUCCUGCUUUGACACCAGAGCCUUAUUCUGCUGCUUUAUCAUCACCUUUGCUGCUGCCUGCAGUGAACUGGUGACUGACAGGGGCAGGAGACUGAAGACUCCUUUGCCACAAAUGUCCCAGCUCAGGGGGAGGUGGGAUCCAGGCAGAAAGCAGCUUAAGAGGAGAGGCCACGGCUAUGUUUGAGUACACCAGGGCCUGGGGCUGCUCAGUCCCAGCUUGGAGAGAAAAAGAAAAGAACAAUGCUGGUGGCUGGGAUGUCAAGCAGCAGCAAUAGUCAAUGACUCUCCCUCCUUGGUAUGUGAUACAAAUCAUUGUGAAGCUUCCCUCUGCCUCCCCUCUCUAGAACGGGAGUCCCUGUGGGGCAGGGAUUUUGUCUUUUUCAUCCUCAACACCUAGCCUCAUGCCUCUUAGGGGCAUAAUCAGAAUUUAUGGAAUACGUAAGUAAAUAGAUGGAGAAAUGACUGAACAAGCCAUUUGCAGCUCAUGCGCACAGCCCUGGGCCCGAGUCAGGGAGCACUGCGGGAUGAAUGACAGACAGCACUCUCACUGAAGUUUCAUUUCAGUCACCUGCCACCUCAGAUUUCCCUUGCAGCCAUUCAGUCACUGGCCACAUCCGCCCACAUUUGUCUCCAAACUGGCCAGAGGCUGCACUCCGAUGGCACUGUUCAAAUGCAGUGACUUCAUUUGGCUCCUCUCAACAGGGGAACAGGAGACAGCAAGUUACUUCAUUUCUUACAGCAGCCUUCCGGAGAGCUCUUUCUCUGGGGAAACCUUGAUCCAUGGCGAACGUCUGUGGCAUUCCCGGCUGGAGCCCUUGGCAAGAAAUGGAAGGAGAGGAUGACAGUGCCAAGGAGGCAGCUGAAGGAUCGUCACCCUGGGAGCCACAGCUCCGACUUGCUUUUUCCAAUGGGCCAUAGAGAGUGAGGGAGGUGGGGGAAGAGGAGGGCACCCACACAGAUAGACUAGUCCUCCCAAGGGGAGCUGCCAUGCCAGGCCCACCUGGUGAAGUAGUUACACACACUCUGGGGCCAUGUGGCUCCUUAAGCCCUGCUCCACUACUGGCUGGCUCUAUGACCUCAGACAAGAAACUUGAGUACUAUGCCUCACUUUCCUUAUUUUAAAAAAGUGUGGAUAAUACUAAAACCUACUUCAUAUGGUGGUGGCAAAGAAAAGUUAAUAGUGCUGAAUAUUUAGCUGCAUGUAUGGCGCAUAGGAAGUCUUACAUAAAUUUCAUUAUGUAAAAUUAAGCUGGACCCUUGGGUUAUAGCCCCACAAUCUUCUUUCUGUAAUAAGCUCAGCCUCAAGUACCACUUGUUUGCUAUGAGAAGGAAAUAAUAGGUGAAGAAAUUAAUAGCAGAUUAGAAGUUUGUUAUUUGUCAUCAAGAUUGCAUAGGAAGCUGGAUUUAGCAGGGGGUGGAGAGCUGCUAAAGGGCCUUCAGUCAUCAACUUCUGAUUAUCUGCCUGGUUGAGGUCUCCUUGUCAGCAUCAUCAGCCUUGGCUUGUUCAAGUCUUUUGUUGACAAGAGCCAGACCUCUCACGAUUCCUCCCACAUACAAUGGGGCAGCUCAGCCAAGGGCUCCAAGAAGAAGUCUUUGAAAGCAAAACUGGUCCUUCGGUCCAUGACCAGAAGUCAGGUGAGCCUCCUGGCAGCAAGCUGUGAGAGAGGAGCCUGGCACCUCCACAGCCCACUCUGGGUGGGCAAGACAGAGUGAGAGGGUGACCAGCUAGUUAUUCAACUUCUCCGAGUCUCAACUUUUCUCCUAUUCAAAAUAGGAAUAAUUAUGCCUAAUUCAAAAGGUGAAAAGCUAUGUGAUGUAUAAACUCAUUGGUAUAUAGCUGAUCCAAUGAAUGGUUGGUAUAGGGCUAAUCCAAUGAAUAGCAGCUAGUAUUUGCUGACAUUUUGCAUUUUCUACAUGCCCACCCCUUCCAGGGAUCGAAAAUUAAUGCUAACUUCCAGACUAGAAAAGGUGUGGUAAUGGAAAGUGAUUUGUAACUAUGAUUUUUUUUCACAUUUUAUUUCCAGACUACAAAGUAAGUACUGAUACAUUCACUUGUUCAUUCAUUCAAUAGAUGUUUACCAAGCUUACGUGGCUAGCUGUUAUUUCAUUCACUUGUGUUUGUCUUGCUCUCACCACCAGGACUCAAGGGUCAGGAGGCCAGGGACAUUGUCUGUUGCCAGGUCUGUUCCACCACACCUGGCAAGACACACCUGUUCUUGACCACGGACUUCAUUCUAUAUGAUCCGGGCUGACUAGAGACAUGUGAGAAAAGAGGAAGUCACGUCAAAAAGGUGGAAACAACUCAAUGUCUACCAGCUGAUGAACAGAUAAAUAAAAUGUGAUGCAUCCAUACCAUAGAUGUGAUUCAGCUAUGAAAAGGAAUGAUGUACUGAUACAUGCUUCCAUGUGGAGGACCCUUGAAAACAUGAUGCUAAGUUAAGUAACAGAAGCUGUCCCAGAAAGCCCCUCAUUGUAUGAUUCAUUCUCCUGAAAGUCCACAGUAGGAAAACUAUACAGAAAAUACCUUGGAGACUGCUUAGGCUGGAUGGAAUAUGAAGGAUAAGCAGACGAGAGCUAAAGGCUACAAGGUUUCUUUUUGAGGUAAUAAAAAUGUUCUAAAAUUGACUAUCUUGAGGGUUACACAUAUCUGUCAGUACACUAAAACUAUUGAAUUGUACAUUUCAAAUGAAUUGUAUGAUAUGUGAAUUAUAUCCAAAGAAAGUUGUUUCAAAAGGGGGAAGGGCAGUUGAGAAGAAGCAGGAAGGCCAUGACCAGAAAC